CAGCCGCCGCGGGAAUACAGAGGGUGCGAGCGUUAAUCGGAUUUUCUGGGCGUAAAGCGUGCGUAGGCGGCUUUUUAAGUCGGAUGUGAAAUCCCUGAGCUUAACUUAGGAAUUGCAUUCGAUACUGGGAAGCUAGAGUAUGGGAGAGGAUGGUAGAAUUCCAGGUGUAGCGGUGAAAUGCGUAGAGAUCUGGAGGAAUACCGAUGGCGAAGGCAGCCAUCUGGCCUAAUACUGACGCUGAGGUACGAAAGCAUGGGGAGCAAACAGGAUUAGAUACCCCCGUAGUCCCUGUCUCUUAUAC
rnacentral:rRNA from 1 species